UCGACUCUUCAACCUUGUAUAAUAAAAUCUUUCUCUGAAAAACUCUCUCUCAUUACUCUUACUCUCUCAAAAAUAUCAAAAUAUCUAGCAUCAACUACGGAACUAAUGGAGCAAAAUAAGGUGCGCAAUUUUAUGACAAGCUAAAUUUUCUAUGGCAAGGUUUUAGGAAAGUAGUAAUAAUACUAAAAUGAUAAUGAUCCUGUGAACACCGGGAGUUCGGUGUA
rnacentral:lncRNA from 1 species